rnacentral:tRNA from 1 species
CCUCCUUACUAAAGUUUGCCGGAUCCCGGCAUGAGUACUCACACAGAUUAUUUGGUUCGUUGACGGUUUUUCGCGUAAGCGUAGAAGCGAUCGGAUGUGAAGGUAGCUGAGCCUGAACCGAGGCAAACAGACUGGGUCUGUAGCUCAGUUGGUUAGAGCGCACCCCUGAUAAGGGUGAGGUCGGAGGUUCAAAUCCUCCCAGACCCACCACGGUCUGCAGAGAUCGACGAGGGUGACGCAACAACAAGGCGAAGCACCGGUUUCGGGGCCAUAGCUCAGCUGGGAGAGCGCCUGCCUUGCACGCAGGAGGUCGGGAAUUCGAUCCUCCCUGGCUCCACCAAUUCAAUACGGCUUGAAAAGGUUGAAAAAUCAGGCUGUAUUGAAUUGA